rnacentral:tRNA from 1 species
GCGAAAGUAGCUCAGUUGGUAGAGCACAACCUUGCCAAGGUUGGGGUCGCGAGUUCGAAUCUCG